GCCAGGCAGGGUGGUGCGUGCCUGUAAUCCCAGCUACUCGGGAGGCUGAGGCAGGAGGAUUGCUUGAACCCGUGAGACGGAGGUUGCAGUGAGCCAAGAUGGUGCCAUUGCACUGCAGCCUGGGCAACAAGAGCAAAACGCUGUCUCAAAAAAAAAAAAAGAGAGAGAGAGGGUCUUGCUCUGUCACCCAGGCUGGCGUGCAGUGAUGCAAUCAUAGUUCACUGAAGCCUCCAACUCCUGGGCUCAAGAGAUCCUCCUGCCUCA
rnacentral:sRNA from 1 species